AGAGAAGAGGCCGACCCCCAGCUCACCACAACCUCCCUUCAGAGAGCACCCAAGUUCUUAUCCAGUCUUCUCCAUAAGCAUCUGCCCUGGAGGCUGCUAUAAAGUAAUCCCCAGGCAGCACGUCUCAUUGGCCACAUGUGGCUGUGCAGCGGACACCUCCACCUCUCUGGGACAACUUGGUGAGCACAGUCACAGCGUUGUGGAGUCACAGAACAGCUUGUGUUGGAAGGGACCACCAGGAUUCCCUGAAAAAGCACCUGGGGUCACUGCGUGGGUAA